CCGUCCGCUCGCUCUCUCGCUUCUGCCUUCCUUGCAGUGCACGGCCACCCGCACUCCUCCUCCUCUUCUUCUUCCUCGGUCCCUGCCGCGCGUGCGCCUCUCGCUCGCUCGCUCUCUCCCCAAGCUCGUUUCAUUCGCCCAUGUCCUCGCCCUCGCCGCCGGUCAUCCCCGGGAGCAGGAGCAGCCGAGCGUCGCCGCCGAUCACCGCUUCACCAGGUCAGUCAGUUCAUCUGCUAGCUUGUUGCUGUUGUUUCCGUGCCAUGUCGUGUCCUGUCUGUCUGUUGCAACAGGUCAGGUCAGGUCCGGCGCCGUUGUGAGGGACGGGACGAUUAAUUUGGGUCCUCGGCCAAUCGCUCUUCCGCAUCUUGCCAUCAUUCAGUUAGUUCAGACUCGAGCUACAUCUUGGCAGAGCGGCUGGAAAUGACAAUUUGUUCAGACUGGAGGAGCAGCGGCUUUCUUUCCUGUGCAUCACAAGUUCAGAACACACGCCCUGGCUUCCUUCCUUCAGCUUUCGACGUGCGCCACAUCAGUCAGAGACGGACAAAACAAGCAGCAUCCAUCAAUCCAUGUGCACUUUGGCUGGCCUCCAUUUACACUCUCGCGGCGGCGGAGCACUGAGCAGUGACCUAAGGGCGCAUUUGAGAGAGAUGAAGCAAGCAGCAGGAUGCAAAGACAAGUCUGUCGUCUCGGCGCAACAGUCCAGCUCGUACGGCUUUCGCUUGCUGAGGUAAGAAAAAUAUUCAUCUACCCCAGAAGGGUGCAGCAAAGUGAAGAUCGAGCCGAUUUAUUCAAAGGAAUGAUCACAGCACAACAAUGGAGUACACAAGAACGGCGACAGCACCCACGCAACGCAACAUGCGGCCGUGUACAUAUUGGUCACAGCUUAAUUACACUCAUCACACAAAGGUACAUCCGAUCCAUUUGCUCUCUCCGAGCUAAUACAAUGUAUGGCAGCACAUCUCAAUCACCACGCCCCGUGACGCUUCUGCCCAGGUGCGCAACGCAGGUACAGCUCCUCUGUUCUUCAGUCUCGAAACGUUGUUUCUGCCGAGAGCAGAGGGCCUUUCUCAAGGGAGGAGGGAAAAUAGGUUCGAUUCUUGCGGAGAUGCUACUCUAA
rnacentral:rRNA from 1 species